AACGCGAAGAACCUUACCUGGGCUCGAAGCGCAGUGGACUGGGGUAGAAAUAUCCCUUUCCCGCAAGGGACUGCUGCGGAGGUGCUGCAUGGCUGUCGUCAGCUCGUGUCGUGAGAUGUUGGGUUAAGUCCCGCAACGAGCGCAACCCUUAUCCCCAGUUGCCAUCAUUAAGUUGGGCACUCUGGUGAAACCGCCUCGGAUAACGGGGAGGAAGGUGGGGAUGACGUCAAGUCCUCAUGGCCUUUAUGUCCAGGGCUACACACGUGCUACAAUGGCCGGUACAAACCGUCGCAAACCCGCGAGGGGGAGCUAAUCGGAAAAAGCCGGCCUCAGUUCGGAUCGCAGUCUGCAACUCGACUGCGUGAAGCUGGAAUCGCUAGUAAUCGCGGAUCAGAAUGCCGCGGUGAAUACGUUCCCGGGCCUUGUACACACCGGCUAC
rnacentral:rRNA from 1 species